UACGUAGGGUGCAAGCGUUAAUCGGAAUUACUGGGCGUAAAGCGUGCGCAGGCGGUUUUGUAAGUCUGUUGUGAAAUCCCCGGGCUUAACCUGGGAAUGGCAAUGGAGACUGCAAGGCUAGAGUUUGGCAGAGGGGGGUAGAAUUCCACGUGUAGCAGUGAAAUGCGUAGAGAUGUGGAGGAACACCGAUGGCGAAGGCAGCCCCCUGGGUCAAGACUGACGCUCAUGCACGAAAGCGUGGGUAGCAAACAGG
rnacentral:rRNA from 1 species